rnacentral:rRNA from 1 species
GUGGGGAAUAUUGGACAAUGGGCGAAAGCCUGAUCCAGCCAUGCCGCGUGUGUGAAGAAGGUCUUCGGAUUGUAAAGCACUUUAAGUUGGGAGGAAGGGCAGUAAGUUAAUACCUUGCUGUUUUGACGUUACCGACAGAAUAAGCACCGGCUAACUUCGUGCCAGCAGCCGCGGUAAUACGAAGGGUGCAAGCGUUAAUCGGAAUUACUGGGCGUAAAGCGCGCGUAGGUGGUUUUGUAAGUUGGAGGUGAAAUCCCCGGGCUCAACCUGGGAACUGCCUCCAAAACUGCAUGACUAGAGUACGGUAGAGGGUAGUGGAAUUUCCUGUGUAGCGGUGAAAUGCGUAGAUAUAGGAAGGAACACCAGUGGCGAAGGCGACUACCUGGACUGAUACUAACACUGAGGUGCGAAAGCGUGGGGAGCAAACAGGAUUAGAUACCCUUGUAGUCC